GAUAAAAGUUGGGUAUAUUUGUCCCCUCACUAUUUUUACUGUAUUGUAUUUCCUAUAUUCUGUAUCAGCCACUGGGGUUGACCCAAUUCUUAUUCAUGACUUCAUGGAACUCCAAGGCAGGGAUGUGUCAUGUUUUUAUUUAUCUGUUCUCAUGAUGAACAUUUAGGUAACUGUGAUGUUUAUUAUUUCCUUCCUUCUGCUGACUUUGGAUUUGUUUGUUCUUCUUUUUCUAAUUCUUUCAGGUGGCAGGUUAGGUUGUUUGAGAUUUUUCUUGUUUUUUGAGGAAAUGCCUGUAUUGCUAUGGACUUCCCUCUUAGGACUGCUUUCGUUGCAUCUCAGAGAUUUUGCAGAUUUAUGUUCAUUGUCAUUUGUCUCAAGAGGAAUGGACUUGGAUGCAGGAAUUUUGGGUUCAGAAUUCUGGGCUUGGCCACUUGAUGGUUAGCACCUGACGAUUGCUUACGAGCACUGGCUAUAAUAACCAUGGACGUUUACUGAGCGAUGACUGCAUGCCAGGCACUGUGAUCAUGUUUCCAUGGAUCAAGGCAUUUAACCUCACCAUCACCUGAUGAGUAGGCGAAGAACCUCAGCUGGGGAAGGAGAGACUUGCCUGAGGCCACUCGAUGGAGGCAGCAGAGUCUGCCAGUGGCCUGCAGGAGCACUGCGUGUCAUGAGCUGAACACAUAUGGUGGCCUCCACUGUGCCACGAGCUUUAUGCAAACCUUCGGGACAACUCCAGGACAAGGAGAAUAAACCUCUCACUGAAAAUAGCUAGAAAGGCUGGACCCAGCCAGAUCUGUCUGGAGACUGGACAGUUAAUGAGACAGCCACAACCUGAGGGUCCAAGAUGCCAGAUGUUUGGGAAACCAAUUAAGAUGCAGAAAACGAGGAACAGAGAGAUCCAAUACUUUGUCCAAGGUCACCUGCAAGCCUGCUGGGGAUGAAGAGGGGAUUCCAGCCCAGGCAGCUUGACUCACAAGACCAAACCAGGGAAUGCUGCCUAGGGGAGGGUACUUAGACAUGUGACUAAAUGAGCAGAAAGACACAAGAGUCUGGGGAAGAAAAGCAUGAAACUCCUCUCCAGAGAAUCCCCAGUGAGCUGCAGAAAGGACUGUUCUGCCCAACGCAGUCACCGCUAGCCGCAUGUGGUUACCGAGCGUGUGAAAAGUGGACAGACUGUGUGGGGCCGAGGCAGCUGUGUCCCUGCUUGGACAGGAGAGAAGAGGAGGAGCAAAGGUGCCAGAUGACAUGACAGACCCCCAGAAAUCCUUGGAAGGACCCCCAGGAGCACGGGGCUGCUGGCAGGGAGGUGCAUGGUGGCUGGAGAUGUUCAUUAGGUUUUGAAGGGAAGGAGCACCCCAGCAGGCUGGCUGACACCAGGACCCGAGGCCGCUUACAGGGGGGGUGUUGUGAUACCCUCCGGAGUGCUGGGCAGCAGCUGAGAAGUUUGGUGGCAGUGCUAGCAGGGAAGUUGACGACGUGGAUGCAGGCAAUGCUAGAAGCCACAACCAAAUAACGUGGAAACCUUUCCAAACAACAUGGAAAGGUCUCUAGGAUCCGCUGUCAGGUGAACGAUGGUCUAUCAGAGAGAAUGAAAUGGGAAAGAAUCUUCUCCAUCCCAAGGUGGAUUAUUUGGAGGAACUGUUGACUGAAAUGGAAACACACAAUGUGAGAGCUGUGCGUUUCAAUUUGAUCGGGGACUUAUCGAGGACUCUGGCCCAGAAGGCGGCCUCUCAGGGAGCUCUCAGAAACUGUUCCGAAGAGCUGAGGGGGGAGGCCAUCGCAUGUGUGAUUUUAGAGAAGGGUACGUGCAACCAAGCACACAUCUUGGAAGAAGGCUGCUGCCAGUCACGAGGAACAGACAUCUUAGUUAAUGAUUUUAGUGCUUUUCCAAGUACGAGCAGAUGCAAGAACCUUAGGUUCAUAACAUUUUCUCCUGAAAAUAUGUAACCAGCUGAAGGCCCAUUCUGCCAGUUUUCCCAGCGCACAGAGCACCUCGUUCCUGAUCUCCACCCUGAACUCCUAUCAGGGCGUGUUAAAGGUCAGUGACAGCAGUGGCUAAUGACUCAGUCCUUGUAGAGCCGGAUGGCCAGCGACAUUCUUUAGUUGGCAGAUUUGAUUGAAUCCUGCGUAGACCUUUGGCCGAGGGAGCUCCCAGUCUUGAGGAGGAAAGGCCACAGCACAGAGGGAAGUGGCCUCUCCUAGCUGGCUCCAUCAGGCAGGGCUACAGCCAGGGCCCCGUCUGCCUCUCUCCCUCCUCCCCCGUCCUCCUAGGGCUCUGGCCUUGGCUACCAGUGUCCUAGAGGUGGUGCCACGAGGGUUUCCACCAGGAGCGAUCA